AUCAACUGAAAACACAAUGAAAAUAUCCUAUUCUUUUCCAAGUAAACAUUUUCACGGGGCCACUUUUUCCUCAUCUGCCUCUUCCAAGACACUACCUGUGAAAACAGAAGAAGUGACAUCGAUCUCUAAAAUGGCGGUGGAUCCCAGCAACGACUCUUUCCCCUAAACUCUGUGUUCUAGAAAACACAGUUGCAUGAACCAUGGAAUUCUCAGAAACCUCUGAGAGGAGACAGUAUCGUUUUAUACUUGUGGAAAUGGCCACAAUCCUAUUCAUCUUACAGUUAUGGAGGACAGCCAUCCACAACAACUUUCCUGGGUAAAUUGCUUUUGCCAGUCCUAUGUUCCUGCUUCAGGAAUUUGAAGAGCUUCUGUGAGCCUUUUCUA
rnacentral:lncRNA from 1 species